rnacentral:rRNA from 1 species
AUGAUCCUUCCGUAGGUGAACCUGCGGAAGGAUCAUUAGUGAAUAUUAGGGCGUCCAACUUAACUUGGAGCCCGAACUCUCACUUUCUAACCCUGUGCAUCUGUUUCUGGUCAGUAGUUCUCUCGGGAGUGAACGCCAUUCACUUAAAACACAAAGUCUAUGAAUGUAUAAAAUUUAUAACAAAACAAAACUUUCAACAACGGAUCUCUUGGCUCUCGCAUCGAUGAAGAACGCAGCGAAAUGCGAUAAGUAAUGUGAAUUGCAGAAUUCAGUGAAUCAUCGAAUCUUUGAACGCACCUUGCGCUCUCUGGUAUUCCGGAGAGCAUGCCUGUUUGAGUGUCAUGAAAUCUUCAACCCUCUCUUUUCUUAAUGAAUCGAGAGGUGCUUGGAUCCUGAGCGCUGCUGGCUUCGGCCUAGCUCGUUCGUAAUGCAUUAGCAUCCGCAAUCGAACUUCGGAUUGACUUGGCGUAAUAGACUAUUCGCUGAGGAUUCUGGUCUCGUACCAGAGCCGGGUUGGGUUAAAGGAAGCUUCUAAUCCUAAAAGUCUAACUUUUGAUUAGAUCUCAAAUCAGGUAGGACUACCCGCUGAACUUAAGCAUAUCAAUAAGCGGAGGAA